rnacentral:rRNA from 1 species
UUGAUAGAUGAUAAACAAAAAACAAGAGCUUUUUACCUUUUGCAUAAUGGUUUAAUUAAAACAGGUUAAAAACUUAACCCCCCGAAAUAGUAAGAUCUAAUAUAGGUAAUGAAUUUUUAUAUUUCAAAAUAAAAAUUUUAAUUUUAUAUUAGGAGGUGAAAGGCUAAGCAAGUACUAUGAUAGCUGGAGGAAAAGGAAAUGCAUGGAGUGCAGGGUUUAGCACCUAGAAAACUUCUGUUAAGGGAAGUUUUCAGCAAGAAUUUAUUUAAAGGUUUAUAUCCUUACGGAUAACUCUUUAGGGGAACUUACCCAAAAUAAAUAAACUUUAAAUCUGACUAAAUACUUUUUGAGGUUAAUUAACUACCUUAAUUUAACUUUGAUAAUGUUAAAAUUAGUACUAUUAAUAAUUUUUUAAAAAAGAACUCGGCAAACCCCUAUUCAACUGUUUAUCAAAAACAUAGUUCUGCGUAGUCUGUGCGGAAUGGAUCCUGCCCUAUGAUUAAUUUUAAAUGGCCGCAGUACUUUAACUGUGCUAAGGUAGCAUAAUAAUUUGGCUUAUAAUUGAAGUCUGGUAUGAAAGGAAGAAUGGAUAGGAGCUGUUUCUAUUGAAUUUAAAGAAACUUACUUAAAAGGUGAAAAUUCCUUUGAUAAUAAAAUAGACGAGAAGACCCUAGGAGUUAACUAUAUUUUGUUGGGGCGACAUUUUAGAUUUAACCUAAAUGAUUUGAUCAAACGUUUAUGUGAAUAACAAUUUAACUACCCUAGGGAUACA